GAUGAACGCUGGCGGCGUGCCUAAUACAUGCAAGUCGAGCGAACGGACGAGAAGCUUGCUUCUCUGAUGUUAGCGGCGGACGGGUGAGUAACACGUGGAUAACCUACCUAUAAGACUGGGAUAACUUCGGGAAACCGGAGCUAAUACCGGAUGAUAUUUUGAACCGCAUGGUUCAAAAGUGAAAGACGGUCUUGCUGUCACUUAUAGAUGGAUCCGCGCUGCAUUAGCUAGUUGGUAAGGUAACGGCUUACCAAGGCAACGAUGCAUAGCCGACCUGAGAGGGUGAUCGGCCACACUGGAACUGAGACACGGUCCAGACUCCUACGGGAGGCAGCAGUAGGGAAUCUUCCGCAAUGGGCGAAAGCCUGACGGAGCAACGCCGCGUGAGUGAUGAAGGUCUUCGGAUCGUAAAACUCUGUUAUUAGGGAAGAACAUAUGUGUAAGUAACUGUGCACAUCUUGACGGUACCUAAUCAGAAAGCCACGGCUAACUACGUGCCAGCAGCCGCGGUAAUACGUAGGUGGCAAGCGUUAUCCGGAAUUAUUGGGCGUAAAGCGCGCGUAGGCGGUUUUUUAGUCUGAUGUGAAAGCCCACGGCUCAACCGUGGAGGGUCAUUGGAAACUGGAAAACUUGAGUGCAGAAGAGGAAAGUGGAAUUCCAUGUGUAGCGGUGAAAUGCGCAGAGAUAUGGAGGAGCACCAGUGGCGAAGGCGACUUUCUGGUCUGUAACUGACGCUGAUGUGCGAAAGCGUGGGGAUCAAACAGGAUUAGAUACCCUGGUAGUCCACGCCGUAAACGAUGAGUGCUAAGUGUUAGGGGGUUUCCGCCCCUUAGUGCUGCAGCUAACGCAUUAAGCACUCCGCCUGGGGAGUACGACCGCAAGGUUGAAACUCAAAGGAAUUGACGGGGACCCGCACAAGCGGUGGAGCAUGUGGUUUAAUUCGAAGCAACGCGAAGAACCUUACCAAAUCUUGACAUCCUUUGACAACUCUAGAGAUAGAGCCUUCCCCUUCGGGGGACAAAGUGACAGGUGGUGCAUGGUUGUCGUCAGCUCGUGUCGUGAGAUGUUGGGUUAAGUCCCGCAACGAGCGCAACCCUUAAGCUUAGUUGCCAUCAUUAAGUUGGGCACUCUAAGUUGACUGCCGGUGACAAACCGGAGGAAGGUGGGGAUGACGUCAAAUCAUCAUGCCCCUUAUGAUUUGGGCUACACACGUGCUACAAUGGACAAUACAAAGGGCAGCGAAACCGCGAGGUCAAGCAAAUCCCAUAAAGUUGUUCUCAGUUCGGAUUGUAGUCUGCAACUCGACUACAUGAAGCUGGAAUCGCUAGUAAUCGUAGAUCAGCAUGCUACGGUGAAUACGUUCCCGGGUCU
rnacentral:rRNA from 1 species